rnacentral:misc_RNA from 1 species
GAUGAAGAACGUAGCGAAAUGCGAUAAGUAGUGUGAAUUGCAGAAGUACCGUGAAUCAUCGAAUCUUUGAACGCAAAUUGCACUCUCUGGUAUUCCGGGGAGUAUGCCUGUUUGAGGGUCGCUUAACAAACCAUCGAUUUCGUUGCUUUUUUUUUAAAAAGUGAUGUUUAUCGGAUUUGAGCCGUCUUUUUUUUUAUAUUUAAGUGGCUUAAAAUUGAUUUUUUUGGUACGAUCGAAGCGUAUUUUUAUGAUCAAUUUUUGGUUAAAGAAACGCACGCGUACCGUUAUUUAUAUGAUGUAAUACGUUUGACUAUUGGAUUUAGUUCAUUCGUAUACGAUAUUUUUCAAUAUUUGACCUCAAAUCAGGUAAGAACACCCGCUGAACUUAAGCAUAUCAAUAAGCGGAGGA